UACGGAGGGUGCAAGCGUUAUCCGGAUUCACUGGGUUUAAAGGGUGCGUAGGAGGGCAGGUAAGUCAGUGGUGAAAUCUCCAAGCUUAACUUGGAAACUGCCGUUGAUACUAUCUGUCUUGAAUACCGUGGAGGUGAGCGGAAUAUGUCAUGUAGCGGUGAAAUGCUUAGAUAUGACACAGAACACCAAUUGCGAAGGCAGCUUACUAAGCUAUGAUUGACGCUGAGGCGCGAAAGCGUGGGGAUCAAACAGG
rnacentral:rRNA from 1 species